rnacentral:rRNA from 1 species
GAUGAACGCUGGCGGCGUGCUUAACACAUGCAAGUCGAACGAAGCACUUUAUUUGAUUUCCUUCGGGACUGAUUAUUUUGUGACUGAGUGGCGGACGGGUGAGUAACGCGUGGGUAACCUGCCUUGUACAGGGGGAUAACAGUUGGAAACGGCUGCUAAUACCGCAUAAGCGCCCAGCAUCGCAUGAUGCAUUGUGAAAAACUCCGGUGGUAUAAGAUUGACCUGCGUUGGAUUAGCUAGUUGGUGAGGUAACGGCCCACCAAGGCGACGAUCCAUAGCCGACCUGGAAGGGUGACCGGCCACAUUGGGACUGGGACACGGCCCAAACUCCUACGGGAGGCAGCAGUGGGGAAUAAUGCACAAUGGGCGAAAGCCUGAUGCAGCGGCGCCGCGUGAGCGAAGAAGUAUUUCGGUACGUAAGCUCUAUCAGCAGGGAAGAUAAUGACGGUACCUGAAGAAGAAGCACCGGCUAACUACGUG